rnacentral:lncRNA from 1 species
AGUCUUGUGAAAACAAACAGCCCUGAAGCCUGCUCACCUCUUCCUCGUGGGCUGCAGCUAAGCUUUCAGCAGGGCCUGAACGGCAUCCAGGAUCGCUGACGGCCUUGCUGAGGGAGGCCAGGCACCUUGAGUUCUGAUUGCAACACAUCCAUUCCGACUUGCAUCACCUGUGCCUGUGGACCCUAUACAAAUUCCCGGAGCACAGGAGAUGGUUAGAACAGCGCUGGGCAGGUAAAGUCUCCAGGGUUUGGUUUUAUUGAAACAGCAUCAAGCACCAAGACAUGGAAGAAACAUCAAACAUUCUAAAAUGAAAGUGUAUUUACCACAUUCCCAAAAGACACUGUUUAUCAGAGUUGGGAGGAAAGAAACUGUCAGUACGUCCCUGUUUCCUUUCCCUAAGAAUCCCGAAAUCCUGAAGCCCGGAACAAGCUGUCUGAAUUGCUACCCAGUUCAUGCCUGAUAUGAAACCCUAAGCUGCUGAUUCUCUGUGUUCAGUUUGUUUUUUUGCAUCUUCCCACUUGAUCAUGUGGACAUCCAAAGAGAAAUGUGUGAAAUGUUUUCUCUUCUCUGUUUGUUCCACACUGAUUCUUGAAAUUGAUUCUUCAGGCAAAAAAAAAAAUAAAAAAA